rnacentral:piRNA from 1 species
UAACCCUGAUGACUUGUACUGAUUCCUGAGC